rnacentral:lncRNA from 1 species
AUGAAUUCCAAGUGAACGGACACCGUUUGAAGCCAUAUUAUGAGAGCUUUGUUGAACAAACCGUGGAUGAUAUUUCUUUGGGUGCCGUGGGCACAAAUGGAGAAUGAAUGGGCUUUUCGUCCGGCUGUACGACGUAAAAGAAAGCGCUACUUGGGAGGCAACCCAUGCAAUUCAACAAAGGAAGACCAAGGAAUUACUCCAAUUCCAGAUUUGCGUUCCUAAACUCUUCACUUUGUUGUUUAUUUCGAAUCUGCCUCUUUAGUUGUUUUAGUUGCUGUUUGUGUGUUUCUUUUUGUUUAGUGUGAUUUUAUGCUUGAAACAUUGAGGACAAUGUUUGAUUUAAGUGUGGGGGGGGUAACUAAGUGUUUUAGAUGCAAAUUCGUGGGAUUUUAUCACCCUUAACUUGGAGACUUGUUCCUUGCUGUUUUUAAGUGUUUUUGAGCAGUUUUGAUGUGUUUUAGUGUGUUUUGAUGCAAAAAUCCGAAAAUCACAUAAAAAUUUGAAAAAUUUGUUUUAAAAAACCCAAAAAAGAGUUGUUUUUGUGUGUUUGUUUGUGUCUUAGGGUACCUUCCAACACAAUGAUGAGGAUUCGGUUUGUAAUUACAUGGCUGUUAAAGAGAGUGAUUAACAUGGAUGAAAGUUUGAUUUACUCUUUGUUAUGCUUAGUUGUGGUUAUAACUUAUGAAUUCACAUGCAAUCAUAAAAGAAAAAAAUCAGUUUUUGUAACAUGCUUGAAGGAAGGAACUCAAACUAACGCUACAACCGUGUGAGACUUGAGCCUAAACGUUUAUUUGGAGAGUUAAAAUCUGUGCAUUCUUUGUUUUCUAAAGUCGUUGCAUGAUCUCAUUAUUCUUUGCUUGGUUGCUACUUAGAAGGCGUUUCAUCAUUUAGUUCCAAAUGCUAGAACUCAUGCCCAUUUCAUUCAAAGCAUGUUAUUGAUUUGCAUAACACACAUUCAAGAUGAAGUUGUGUAGUGACCACCACCUUAGCCAAAAAGCCGUGUGCCCUAUGUCAUUAUGUUUUGUAGGUUUUUAACCCCAUUGAGCCUUGUUAGCCUUCGUUAUUUGUUAACCCAUGUUCUCCUCACCUAGCCUAGAUUAGGACCAUCCAUACCUUGUUCUUAAAGCAUAGUAAAGCAUGAUUCAAAUUGAAUUCCUUUUGAUUUAUGUUGGCAGAAAACAAGUGUGGGGGAAGUAUUUCUUUUGUGAUUUUGUGUGCCAUAGGCACGUGUGAAAAGAAAAAAAAAAGAAAAAAAAUUCGUGGAAAAAGAAAAAAAUGAAGAAAAAAUAUGAGAAGUAUGAAAAAAAGAGUUGAAAAGUUGAGACAAAGACUUCCAAAGUAUUGUUUGUUGAAGUAAGGGUCCAAAACAAUGAAUUUGACCCUAAGGAGUUGUUUAAGUCUCCCCCUUGUGUGUUAAAGUUAAUGUCUGCAAUCUAAGUGAAUUCUAAGUCUCAAUUUCAUUGCUUUGCUUACUAUCGCUUGAAGAACGGUUGUUUUCCUUAUCCUUUCCUUGUUAACCAAUACCCCGAGCCCCAUUACAACCCUUAACUUCUAUCUUGAGUAUUAUGUGUUUCAAUUUGUGGAGUUUGAAUUUGGUAUGAGCAUAUGGUGUCACUGGUUCUCGCAUCUAAGUAGUAGCAUUCCAUUCAUGAGAUCAUAUCUAAACAUGCUUCUUAACUCUAGAAAUUGCGUUCUUUGUGAUACAUAUAUGUGAGCAUUCGUUGUCAUAUCUACAUCAGUCUUCUCACAUAUGACUAGUGUAGGGUGUGGAGUUAGAAAAUCUGAGUGAAAAUAGAGUGUAUAUCUUGUAAGGAAUUGAGGGAAUUCUCUAAGGCAUGUAGUAACAUUCAAAGCAUUGUUUUAAUUGAUUACUUGUGAACUAGUGAGUAGUGGCUUUAAUUAAGUAUGUGCUUGUGUAAAGAUGACUCAAAUCUGUGGGGAUAACAAUCUUUAACAUGUCAUAUGCAUUGGAAAUCCCUGAGGCAAACGUUGGAAGGUUUAGGUUUUGUUUUGGUUAGUUUGUUUCGUUUUGUUUUCUUUCUUUUGUUUGUUUUGCUCGAGGACUAGCAAAAGCUAAGUGUGGGGGAAUUUGAUAGGAGCAUAUUUAUGCGCCUUAGUUAGCUAGUUCUUAUGCAUUUUCGUUAUGUUUUCUUUGUUAAAGUAGUCUUUUAAGCUACUUUCAUGUGUUUUCAGGUUUAAAGGACAUAUUACAUGAAAUGAUGCAAUUUGGAGCUUUUGGAGCAAAAAGUGAGCUUGGAAUGAAAAGGACAUGCUUGGAACACAAGGUUGGGAUGAAAUUGAAGAGUUGAAGAUUUGAGGUUUCCUACUUGAAGUAGGAAAGCUAAGCCUAAAAGUUUCCAUUUUGGGUUGAUCUUUCCUAAACCGGAAUGGCCUUGCGUUUGAGCAACAUUAGAAGGUUCCGAAGCGUUGGAAGACACAAAGAAAGGUGUUAGAAUAUUUUCUCAUUCUUGCCGUGGGUUAGGGCUUAAUUUCUCUUGGUUUUGGGCUUUUUAGAAGCCCUAUCCACAUUCCCACUAACCAGCCGCACCUUUCCCCUUCUAGAACACAUAUUUCCUUGCCUUGCAAGGCUUUCUAGAAGCCCUAACCCUAGCCCACUUAAUUGCCGCACCCUAGGCCCUUUUCUCACCAAAUUUCUGAUUGUUUAACCUAUUUUCUGGUGGAUUUGGGUUUCUAGAAACCCUAAUCUGAUUUGCUAGGGUUUUUAAGUGCCUAUAUAUAUAUUUCUACACCUAGCCGCACACAUCACCUCUCCACAAUUCAGAAAUUCAUCCAACCCUAUAUUCCCAUUCCUUGCCGCAGCCACCAUCAUCCUUAUACCCUUAGCCGCCACUCCUCCAUCCAUUCGAGCCAUUUCCCACACCUUGCCGCAACCCUUCUCCACAACCAUACACCAUUCUACACCUCCAUACACCAUCCAUACACCUUGCCGCACCACAAUACUAUCCUAACUCCCUUCCAAACCCAAAAUCACAUCCAAAAAUCCCCUAAACCCUCUCUGCCGCAGCAAGGAGAAGAAGAAAGAGGAGCUUGACGUGCAGAAUUCAAAGUGGAAUUGUUGGGCGUUUUAGGUGUAAUCUUUCUUAUGUCUUCGAUGUUUCAAUUCAAUAAACUUUGUGUUGUGAGUAUGAGGAACUAAACCCCCUUAGUUGGGGGGUAAUUCGAAACCAUGUACAUGCUUGCAAUAUGAUUUGAUUACAUUCAGUUGUUAUUUCAUGAGUUGUGGAUUCAAUUCGUUCAUCUAUUUGAUUGAUAACUUAUUUGUGUAUGUUGAUUGAGAGUGCACGCUUAGUUUUCAUGCAUGAAUACGAUGCUAGAUUAUGAGGGAGUUUCACCUAAUAGUUACAAUCUUAUAAUCACAAGUAGUGAAGAUCGCUUGAAAACGAUCGUGUUGAAUGAAUUCUUGGCAUAAGUUUCAUGCAAUUCAUAGUAACAAAUGCUUCGUCAAUGCUUAUGUUUUUCAUAGAACGUAAUGAUUCUUGCUUGUAUCUCUAUUAUGCAAUUCAUGUAGGGAACUUGUAGGGAAUGUUUUGGGUUGUCGUAUGCAAUCAUCCAACUUAAUAACUUGUGGAAAAACUGAGGGUUAACUAGUGCAAUUCACUGUUAAUUUGGGGCGUUGAGUAUUCAUAAUUCAUUGGAAGAACAACUGAUAAUCGUUUUGUUUGCAAGUGUGACAUGUGUGGAGAAGAACCUCCUAACUAGCCUUUUAUCCAUCCUUUUAUUCAAAAACGUUCUACAAUCUGUUUAGUUUAAAGUUUCUGUUUUGUUUUCAAUUUUCGUCCAAAAUAAAUCCCCCUUUAUUUUGAAGUCUUAGAUUAGUUAGAAAGUGUUUUGAUUCAAGUUUUCACUCAAAUUCGUCCAAGUUCUUGUUAGGUUCUCAAAACUGCCCAGAAAGUGGUUUUUAGGCAGUUUUGAUUCAUUAGGUUGCUGUUUUGAGUUUUAGGUUUGUUUAAGUGUUUUAACCUUUAGUUUUGCAUUCUUUGAGUCUAGUUUAGUGGUUUAAACUUUGUUUUUGAGUUUUUAAGUCAAUUUCCAAGUGUUUAGCAAUCCCUCCUAAUCCCCGGUCUAGAACGAUCCCUACUUACAUCUCUACUACAAUUUGACAAAAGAGGGUUUAAUUUGUGUGCUUAAUAUAUUUCGCAUCAGGGUAGCACGGCAAGCUUAGGGAAUGAAGAUAGGGCUUCUAAAAAGCCCAAAACCAAGAAAACAUAGGCCCUAACCCACGACAGAGAUGAGGAAAAUGUUCUACAACCAUUCUUCGUGUCUUCCAACGCUUAGGAACCUUCUAAUGUUGCUAAACUCAAGGCCAUGUAGGUUUAGGAAAGAUCAACCCAAAAUAGGAAAUCUUAGGCUUAGCUUUCCUACUUCAAGUAGGAAACCUUGUUUGAGUAGGAAUCUUCAUUCUUCUAGGAAUCCAUCUUCAACUAGGAAUCCCUCGUUAAUUAGGAAUCCUUCUUGUACUAGGAAUCCUCAAAUCUUCAAAUCUUCAAUUUCAUCCAAACCUUGUGUUCCAAGCAUGUGCUAUUCACUCUAAGCUCACUUUUGCUCCAAAAAGCUCCAAUUUGCAUCAUUUUGUAUAAUAUGCCUUAAAAACCUGAAAACACAUGAAAAUAGCUUAAAAGACUACUUUAAAUAAGAAAACAUAACGAAAAUGCAUAAGAACUAGCUAACUAAGGCGCAUAAAUAUGCUCCUAUCAAUGAGCAUAUGGUGUCAAUGGUUCUCGCAUCUAAGUAGUAGCAUUCCAUUCAUGAGAUCAUAUCUAAAUGCUUAUUAACUCCUGAAAAUGCUUUAUUUGUUAUAUAUAUAUAUGUGCGAGGGUUCAUUUUUAUGUCUAUGAUAGGAGCAUAUUUAUGCGCCUUAGUUAGUUAGUUCUUAUGCAUUUAUGUUGUGUUUUCUUAGUUAAGUUAGUCUUUUUAAGCUAUUUUCAUGUGUUUUCAGGUUUUAGAGACAAAGUGAGCAAAAGGAUGCAAUUUGGAGCAUUUUGGAGCAAAAUUGGGCUAAAAUGGAGUUCAUGCACAUGAAGCACAAGGGAUGGACGAAUUUGAGGAAUUGAUGAAGCUAGGAAGGCGUUUCAAAGUUGAAGAAUUGAAGAUACCAAGUUUCCUAGUUGAAGUAGGAAAGAGCUUACAUGAAGGAUUCCUAAAUGAAGAAGGAUUCCUAAUCAAUGUAGGAGUCCUAAUUGAAGAUGGAUUCCUAGACGAAUAAAGUUUCCUACUCAAGCAAGGUUUCCUAUGUGAAGAAGAAGAGUAAAGUCAAAGAAUCAGCUCAAGAGAAGGAUCUUAUCCAAAACCACAUCCAUAACCUUAUCUUAGCUUAUCUUAUCCAUACAAACUUUAUCCUAUCUUAUCUUAUCCUAAUCCUAAACUAUCCACAUUCCAGCCACUUAGGAGGGUUUCUAAUUAGAUUAGGAUGCUUAAAAUGGGAUUUCUAGAAGCCUUAUCCCUUCCUAGAUAAGUGCCGCACCCUAUACCUUAUUUCCCUUGGAAUUUCAGAUUUCUAGAAGCCUUAUCAUCUCCUAUCUUUGUGCCGCACCUUAUUUCCCAAUCCCUUUGGGUUUUGACUUGUUUUCCUUAUAGGAUUGUAUGUUAUUAUCCUAUGCAACUUAGGCUUUUAAAACCUUGUCCUUGGCUACCUAGGAGAUGGGAUUUUCAGCCUAUAAAUACAAGGCCUUGCCGCACCCUUUCAUUCACCACCCUCUACCAGAUUUUCACUACACCAUUCACCAAUCAUACCUCUUGUGCCGUGAAUUUGCAAGGAGAAGAAGGAAGACAACUUGGAGCCGUGCAUGCCAUUCAAGACGUUGGAUUGUCGGAGCGUUUCUAGGUGUUUUCUAUCUUUAUGUCAAUGUUUAAAUUUAUUUAUCUUUGUUUAUUUGCGAACAUGAGGAACUAAUUUCUUUAUAGUUAGAGGGGAAUUCAAAGCCAUGAUCAUAUGUUUAUAUGACUUGAUUACCUCCAGUUAUGAUUUCAUGAAUCGUGAAUGUAGUUUACUUAUCUAUUUGAUUGAUAACUUGUUCUUGUGUGUUAAUUAAGGAUGCAUACUUAGUUCGCAUGCAUGAAUUUGAUGCUAGAGUAUAAGGGAAUUUCACCUAAUCGUUAUUAACUUAUAUUCAUAAGUAGUAAAAGUCGCUAGUCACGAUUGUGUUGAGUAAAUCCUUGGCAAGAGUAACAUGCGUAUCCCAUAGUUAUGAAUGCCUCGUCAAUGCUUAUGAUUUCCAUUGAACUUAAUGAUCUUUGAUAUGUGUCUCUAUCAUGCGUAUUCCAUAGUUAGGGUCCUUGAUAAGAAUAAUUUGGUUGUAAUGCGUAUUCCAUUCAAUUCAAUGAAUCUAGGGAAAUCUGAGAAUUAAUUGGUGCAAUCUAGUUAAUUUGGGGCAUUGUCAUUCAUGGUUUGUUGAAGGAGUAACUGGAAAUCGAGUCGUAUGCAUAUGUUUCAUGUGUGGAGAAGGAACCCUCUAACUAGCCUUUCACCAUCCUAUUUCAUCAAAAUCGUUCUUGUUAAAGUUUGUUUUCAAAGUUUUUGUUUUAAAAGUUAAAUUCGUCCAAAAUCAAUCACCCUUUACUUGGUUGAGUCAUAGUAGUUAGAAAUCACUUUAGUUUGUGUUUUUAAGUGUCUUAGGUCAAGUUAAAACCAAUUUUCGUCCAAGUUUGUGUCUAGUGUUCAAAACUGCCCAGAUUGUGGUUUUAAGGCAGUUUUGAGUGUUUCUGGGCUGUUUUGAGUCUUUUGGUUUGUUUUGGUAUUUUAAAGUUUAGUUUUGCAUUCUUUGAGUCUAGUUUAGUGUUUUAAACUUGUUUUUACGUAUUUGAGUCAGUUUUCAAGUGAUUUUGCAAUCCCUCCUAAUCCCUGGUUUAGAACGAUUCCUACUUACAUACUUUGCUACAAUUGAUAAAAAGAGGGUUAAUUUGAGUGUCAACAUAAUUUUCACAUCAGUCUACAUCAAAUCUGAGUGAAAAUUGAGUGCAUAUCUAGUAAGGAAUUGAGCAAAUUCUCUAAGGCAUGUUACUACAUUCAAAACAUCGUUUUAAAUGGUUAAAUGUGAACUAGUAAGUAGUGACUAUGAUUAAGUAUGUGCUUAAGUGUAAAGAUGGCUAAAAUUUGUGGGAAUGAUGAUUUUUAACAUGUCAUGUGCAUUGGAAAUCCCUGAGGCAAUCGUUGGAAGGUUUAGGUUGUGUUUUACUUGUUUUAUUUCGUUUUGUUUACUUUGUUUUCGUUUUGUUUUGCUCAAGGACUAGCAAAAGCUAAGUGUGGGGGAAUUUGAUAGGGGCAUAUUUAUGCACCUUAGUUAGCUUGUUCUUGUGCAUUUACAUUGUUUUUCCUCAGUUAAAGUAGUUUUUUAAGCUAGUUUUAUGUGUUUUCAGGCUAUAAGGGCAAAGUAUGCAAAAUGAUGCAUUUUGGAGCCUUAUGGAGCAAAUUAGAGCUUGGAAUGGACAUCAUAUGCUUGGAGCCAAAAGGAUGGACGAAAUUGAAGAUUUGAAGAUGAUGUUUCCUACUUGAACAAGGUUUCCUUGUUGAAGUAGGAAAGUCCCUAAUUGAAGAUGGAAUCCUAGUUGAAUUAGGAUUCCUAGUUGAAAUAGGUUUCCUAGUGGAAUUGGGAUUCCUAGAAGAUGAAGAUUCCUACUCAAACAAGGUUUCCUACUUGAAGUAGGAAAGUUAAAUCCAAAUGGCAUCAAGUUUCAGCAACAAAGAAGUUUUCCAAGUCCAAGAAGGAAAAGGAAUCCAAGAUGAUGAAGGAUUGACAAAGACAAACUUUCCUAAUCCUAAUGUACAAAGAUUUCAGCUCCAAAGAGGAGUCCUAAACACUUUAGGACACCUUAUCCCUUCACAAUCAACCUUAUCCCUUAGUGCCGCACCUAUUCCCUUCUAGAAAUCUGAUUUCCUUGCCUUGCAAGGCUUUUUAGAAGCCUUAUCCACCCUAUCCCUUACCUGCCGCACCUAGGAGGCCUUUUCCCAUUCAAAAUCUGAUUGUUUUAAGCCUUUUCCUGAUGGGUUUUAAUUAUACAAGUCCAUAUCUGAUUCCCCUAGGGUUUUAAGUGCCUAUAUAUACUCAUAUUAACCCUUUGGCUAAAUUACCACCUCUCAUACACAUCAAUUCACGCCAGAAAUCAUCCCUUGCUCUCUGCCGCACCCUUCCACCACCAUAUUCCAUAAUUUCUGCCCAAAAUCAUCCCUAGCCGCACCACCCAUCAACCCUAGACACCACCACACAUCCCCUAUCCAUUCUACACCAUUCAUAACCCCAAAACCUGUCCACAACCUUUGUGCCGCAGCAAGGAGAAAGGAAGGAACUUCGUGGAUGCACUUGCUGUCCAAGUUGGAGUAUCUAGGUGUUUUCUUUCUUUGGAUUUCAAUGUUUAAACUUAUUUAUCUUUGCUUUGUGCAUAUGAGGAACUAAACCCCCCUUGGCUAGGGGG